rnacentral:rRNA from 1 species
CCUACGGGGGGCAGCAGUGGGGAAUAUUGGACAAUGGGCGAAAGCCUGAUCCAGCCAUGCCGCGUGUGUGAAGAAGGCCUUCGGGUUGUAAAGCACUUUCAGUGGGGAAGAAAGCCUUGGGGCUAAUACCCUCGAGGAAGGACAUCACCCACAGAAGAAGCACCGGCUAACUCCGUGCCAGCAGCCGCGGUAAUACGGAGGGUGCGAGCGUUAAUCGGAAUUACUGGGCGUAAAGCGCGCGUAGGCGGUCUGAUAAGCCGGUUGUGAAAUCCCCGGGCGCAACCUGGGAACGGCAUCCGGAACUGUCAGGCUUGAGUGCAGGAGAGGAAGGUAGAAUUCCCGGUGUAGCGGUGAAAUGCGUAGAGAUCGGGAGGAAUACCAGUGGCGAAGGCGGCCUUCUGGACUGACACUGACGCUGAGGUGCGAAAGCGUGGGUAGCAAACAGGAUUAGAUACCCCAGUAGUC